ACAAUAUCCAGUCUCACUGAUCCAUUACGCAGAGUAGGAACCUGAGCAAGUAGCGUGGGACACUCUGCAUAUUGCUGACAAGACACCCCAACAACAACAUCUGUAUCCUUUACUGGCUUGCCAAAAACAAGAUUAUUCCUCUCUCACCAUAUGUUUCGACUUAGGAUUACUGCAUAAGUCAAAUCCCAGGUAGCCAACCCACCAAUUUAGUGGGUCGGAAAGAUUAUGAUUUUGAAGAUUAUGAUUUUGAAGGUUUUAAAACCUUCAAA
rnacentral:misc_RNA from 1 species